AGCUGCUGAUUUGGGGUAAUAAAUACAACGGGCGGGCGAGAGCGAUUAGAGCCGUCUUUUAUAAAUGUCUUCACAUCUCAUUAUGCAGAUGAGCUCCGGCUACACGGCUCCGAGCCUUUGGUUCUCGUCAAAUAAAAUGUUCUUGGGUUGAUUUCCCGCAAUGCAAACGCUCUCUCCGUGUGCUGGAGUUGGGCACAAACUUCGGCGGCUCUGCCGGGUGUGGAGAGCUCCGAGCCUGCUCUGUUUAUAUGUGAGGAGAAGGAGGAGAUGUGCCAUGCUUCUGGUCCCACCUGCUCUCGGGUCACUAUUGAGCAUCGCUGGAAAGUCAGGCUGGAGUUCCUGAAGUGAAAUCUGAUUUUUUUUUUAAAUUUUUUUUUUCUUCUGGCUGAAUAAUUGAGAUGCUGCCAGACAAGAAGAGCUGCAGAAAAUGAGAGUUUAUCUUUAGCACCACAGUUCUCACUUUAGAAACUGGUGACCCCAAUUCCAGCCUGGAGAGUGACUUCUUCCCUAAUUAAUAAAUCCAUUAAUUAAU